UACGUAGGGGUCCAAGCGUUAUCCGGAAUCACUGGGCGUAAAGCGUCCGUAGGCGGGUGUCGCGUGAGAUGCGAAAUCCAGCGGCUCAACCGUUUGGACUGUAUCUCAUACGGGGGCACCUAGAGGUUGGCAGGAGGCAAGUGGAACUUGCGGUGUAGCAGUGAAAUGCGUAGAGAUCGCAAAGAACACCAAUGGCAAGGCAGCUUGCUGGGCCACACCUGACGCUCGAGGGACGAAAG
rnacentral:rRNA from 1 species